ACGCUCGACACCUACGGGAGGAGCAGUGGGGAAUAUUGCACAAUGGGGGAAACCCUGAUGCAGCGACGCCGCGUGGAGGAAGAAGGUCUUCGGAUUGUAAACUCCUGUUGUUGGGGAAAAAGAGGAUGGUACCCAACAAGGAAGUGACGGCUAACUACGUGCCAGUAGCCGCGGUAAUCUGAGCGGGCUGGCAAGGC
rnacentral:rRNA from 1 species